UACAGAGGUCUCAACCGUUGUUCGGAUUCAUUGGGCGUAAAGGGUGCGUAGGCGGUCGCGCAAGUCGGAUGUGAAAUCUUGGGCUCAACCCUGAAACUGCAUUCGAUACUGCGUGGCUCGAGUACUGGAGAGGAGACUGGAAUUUACGGUGUAGCAGUGAAAUGCGUAGAUAUCGUAAGGAAGACCAGUGGCGAAGGCGAGUCUCUGGACAGUUACUGACGCUGAGGCACGAAGGCCAGGGGAGCAAACGGG
rnacentral:rRNA from 1 species